CGAGUACUGCGGAUCUCGUUAGUGCCGAUAUGUCCCUGGGCCAAUGACGUCCAUUAGGGAGCCGCCUCUGUCUUCGGUGUGCCGUUGGCAUGUGGCGCCCACCUGCACCAGCAGGCCACAGUGGACCAUAGGGCCGACGGUUCCUGCGGUCUCGU
rnacentral:other from 1 species